rnacentral:rRNA from 1 species
UACGUAGGCAGCGAGCGUUGUUCGGAAUUACUGGGCGUAAAGAGUGUGUAGGCGGUGCUCUAAGUUCGGUGUGAAAUCUCCCGCUUAACUGGGAGGGUGCGCCGGAAACUGGAGUGCUCGAGCGUGGGAGAGGAAAGCGGAAGUUCCUGGUGUAGCGGUGAAAUGCGUAGAUAUCAGGAGGAACACCUGCGGUGUAGACGGCUUUCUGGACCAUUGCUGACGCUGAGACACGAAAGCGUGGGUAGCAAACAGG